AUGAACGCUGGCGGCGUGCUUAACACAUGCAAGUCGAACGAAGCACUUUAUUUGAUUUCCUUCGGGACUGAUUAUUUUGUGACUGAGUGGCGGACGGGUGAGUAACGCGUGGGUAACCUGCCUUGUACAGGGGGAUAACAGUUGGAAACGGCUGCUAAUACCGCAUAAGCGCACAGCAUCGCAUGAUGCAGUGUGAAAAACUCCGGUGGUAUAAGAUGGACCCGCGUUGGAUUAGCUAGUUGGUGAGGUAACGGCACACCAAGGCGACGAUCCAUAGCCGACCUGAGAGGGUGACCGGCCACAUUGGGACUGAGACACGGCCCAAACUCCUACGGGAGGCAGCAGUGGGGAAUAUUGCACAAUGGGCGAAAGGCUGAUGCAGCGACGCCGCGUGAGCGAAGAAGUAUUUCGGUAUGUAAAGCUCUAUCAGCAGGGAAGAUAAUGACGGUACCUGACUAAGAAGCACCGGCUAAAUACGUG
rnacentral:rRNA from 1 species